ensembl:lncRNA
ACAGCACUUCAAAACAGCUACAAUCAGAUGGACUUGGAGGAUAUUUGUCCUUAAGAAUUCAGUGCAGAUCUUCAUGAAGAUGGGUUAUGCCUACACUUCCUUGAAGAAAGUUGUGAGUUACAGAAGCUGCUUAGAGCACAUGCACACACACACACACACCAAAAAAAAAAAAAAAAAAAAAGGCUCAGAUUUCCACUGGAGAAAGAACACUUUAACAACCCUGUGACACUUUGGACAAGCAAAGAAUCCUGUUGGAAAACCGCAUUCCUUUGGUGCUGCCACAAAGCGGCUGCCUGCUGGGGCCUGGAGCACAAGUGAAUGCACAG